CUGUUCCACAAAUACACCCCCCCCCCUGGCUAGCAGUCUUGGUGGUCAUCAGAAAGAAGCUCCAGCCCUCUGGGUGCAAUUCUGAAGGACUUCAUCACCAGACUUUGGUCUGGUUCUGCUGUCUAUCACAAACACUAUUCUGUUGGUGGUUAUAUGCAACAAGACCUUCUCAGAGGUGGCCUCGCAGCUGUGGAAUUUCAUCCCAUGUGAGGUCAGGCAAGCCCCGCCCCUGGAUAAUUUUAAACAGGCCUUUUUUAUGGCCUUCGGAAGCUAAUUGCAAAUAUUGCUGUAUAAAUGGCAUUGCGGCCUAGUUUCUAAAUAGGCUAUUUGCUAUUUCCCUGCUGGCUUUUAGAAAAUACGGCACAGAUAUUUUAAAUGGUUUUAAAAUGUGUUUUCAAAUAUAAAUCAUUGUCAAUUAGGGUUUGAUGUGUGGAGAAAUUACCGUUUAAAAUGUGUUUCCUGAGACAGGGUUUUGUUUUUUUAAAAUAAAAGUAUGCUGUGGAUGUGGGGUUAUGUGAAGGAUUAAGUUUAAAAUACCAUGAAUCUGAGGGUAGAUGGCAGUUGGCAGCUACUCAGUUGCAAAAAGAAUGGUCAUGGAAAAGCGGGUUCUUUUUAUAUGAACCAAGAGGAUUGUAAAAUUUCACUGGGUAGAAAUUCUUGGUCACUUAUUGGACACAAAAAAAGUGGUCUGGUGAGGGGGUAGAAUUAUAUGCCCCUCAAAUCUGACUGGUUGGUUGCAAGUGUAGGCUGGCUGGAACAUAAAUACAACCAUUCUCAAUGUAUUUUUGCUCUGCUACACAUUUGAAAAGGGCAUGUUUAUUCUUCCAUUGCUGCUGCUGCAGCUGCUUCUGCCAUUUUCAUCUCGCACUAUUUCAGCUACUUUUGAGUUGAAAUCUGACAAACUUUUUUUGUGCUUGCUUUGCACCAGGAACCUGUUAAUGCAAUGUCGGGGUUAUUUGCAAUGAAUAAUACAUUGACAUUUUAUUCUCCUGAGGAAACAACUUUAUUUUGAAUUCUUUGUUUUGGUGUGCUCAUUUGAGGCUGGAACAUUUUGUACACUUAGCUGCAGGAACCAGAAUAGCUGGUUGCACCCUUCUGCUCCACUUAUUAGGAUCCCAGCAAUAAAAUUGUCUAAUUUCAUACAUACUCUCGUAUGCCCCCCCCUUUUACUGCUGAUGUAAUUAUUUUAAUUAAACUGCCCUGUUCCCACAGGCUCAGGCAAACUUACUAUUAAUAAAGCAAUAUUUCCUUUGCUUUUUGCUUAUCCUCAUCAUUUACUUAACCUCCCUACAAAUACUUUUCAUUGAAAUGAUUUUAAACAAGAUCUUAAAAAUUGUCCUCUGCCCCCCCCCCCCCCCUGGCAGCCUAGCAAAAGCUGGUAAGUGUUUCUAGAGACCAAUGCUACCUGGGUAAGCAGAAACAUUGAAUCACAGAGAACACCCAAAUUGCAUUCUUACCUUUUUUGGCUCUCUCCAUAUCUUCACCCCUAUCUUUGUACCAUUGUUUCCAGUUCUAUCUCUCCCCAUGAGCUUCAGUCCUCCAGUUUGAAACCAGCUCUACCUACCUUCCUUGCUACCUCUCGUGCCUACUUCCAAGAGUAUCUAGCGAACGGGUAGGUGAUGUGGUGCCCUCCAGAUGUUUUGUGGACUACAACUCUCAUCAGCCCCAGCCAGCAUCACCAAUGGGGAAGAAUGAUGGGACAUGCACUCCACUGGUGAUAUUCCAUUAAAUAUUUGCACCAGUGCAAUGGGAUUUCCUCCCUCUCCUCCCCUCCCCUCCUGUGUGACCUGAACCAUUACCAAAUCUGCUCUGGAGGGUUGGAGGAACCCCCAGUACAGAUUUUGGGGAUACAUGGUGUGUGUGAGAACAGUCUAUUGUACAAGGAGAAAUCUUGCAUUGGGGGAAUGUUCUCCUUAUUGUUAGGUUGAAUACAAGCCCAUUACACCAAGAGAGCACCACGUUGGCUACCCCUGAUGUAGAUAGUACUCCCUUUUUGUCUUCAUUCAGAUCCCCACCUGUAAGCGUCACCUUGCUGGUAAAACCUUUGGCCUACCCUCUUAAGUCACCAUCACCGGCUAAAUUUUAAGCUGUGUUUUUAUCUUGUGUUCUCAUCCUGUGAACCACACUGGGAAGGGAGGUAUAUAAAUAUAAAUAGUAGCAGUAGCAGCAUCUAAAGUACAUGUAUUCAUUCAUACCCACCCCUUGCCCCUUAACAUCAGCUUCUCUCAGCAGAAGCUCGUCUUUUGGGCUUAAGUCUGUACAGCAGCACAUAGACUGAUAAGAUUUCAACCAGCGCUGGCAACAGGGCUCUAUAUUGUUACAAGUUCCUUAACAUACAUCCCAAGCUGCCUAUGGCUGGAAACGAGGAUACUGGACUUUGAUGGGCUACUUGCUUCACCUAGUGUUCAUUGCAGUUUGAAUCUGAAGCUGCAAGCAAGAACCGACUGCAACCAGUGCACAGAGUUGGUGUUUGGUGUAGCCGCAGUCAUCCCCACCAUUAAGGAGAAAACUCCCAACUGAUGCAGCAAGCUGGAGAGAUGAAAUGGCACAAUAAGAGCAUUUUGGAAAGCGGAUGAAGACGAUGCCACGAAAGAAAUGCAGGAGCCAGGUGGGAACACUCAGUAAGGUGUCGGAUAGGUGUGAAAGCAUGAGAUCCACUACAUUUAGAACAGGUUUAAACAUAUUAAAAUUCUGGCCCCACUUUCAAUAAGGCACAGGAUUCAUGUUUCUUUGUUUUUCUUUUACCAUAUACUAUUCCCCCCCCCUUUUUAACCCCGUUACAUUAUCCAGAGACACAGAAAGAGAGAGGGAGCUAAAAGUAUAUUGUUUAUGAUCAGAGCGUAGGUUGCUUUGUGGACAAAAAGAACUACUUUUAACUAUAUAGUUUCAAAAUUCCAAGGGGUAAAGAGAAAAAUCAUAUAUUGUUUGUUUGCAGAACUCAGCAUAGCUAAAAUUGUACAAUCCUUCUAGCAAAGCUGAACAUUUAAAGCCAAGUUUUAAAGCCAAGCCAAACAGAAUGAGCCCCACAAAAAGCCAAAGCCAACACAGAUGGCAUUAACAUUAUAAAAAAGAGACUACUUGUUUAAAAGCCUUUUUAUUUUCCUUCACCAUUAUUGUUUUACAAUACAAAUUUCACCUUGUUGAACACACAAAAAAAACCCUACAGAAGAUAACUCUGUUUCACGUAAAAUACAGAAUGAAUAUAUAUAUUUUUAUAUAGAUAGAUAGAUAUAUGCUUCUUCAUUCUUAAAAAACUAUUUUGUUCUGCACAUUGGCAAGUAUAGGAUAGAAUACUUCCCCCAGACACAAUAUGUAUGGCAGGACUGAAAUUUUAGAGUUACAUGCAGUUUCUGCACAAUUCUGUUUUCAAGAAAUCAAUUGUUUUUCAACAAAAUUUUCAGGGAUGAGACAUUGUUUAUAGUUUGAUUUUUGAUUUGCUAAUCAUUUGGAGAGAAAAAUAAUCUUAUAAAAAGGAAUCCAUAGCUGUUUUCUUGCUAUAGUUAAAAUCCAUGUAUGGAAUGGACAAUAAAAUAAUUUAAGAAGCAAAUUUCACUCUAACAUCUCCACAAUAUGUGAAGACUUGAUUAUGGUAUUUGGUUUUUCUUCCAAUUUAGUCAUCUGAACAUUGCAAGCAGAUUCCCAAUUUAAUUUAGAUAUAAAAUCAAAAUUUAGUAAUGUAUACAAUACAUAUAAUAUUUGUUUCAUGGAAUACUUUAUUUUAAAUUAAAACUUGUAAAGACUGCCUACUGACCAUACUAUCAAGACAAGAAAGGCACUAGAAACAGAUACAUCUCUCUCCCAAGAAGCUUUUUUUUAUUUUAACUCUUUUCUCUGACAUGUAAAAAUCUUUUUUAGAUUUUAUUUUUACGCAUAUCAUUUUGAAAAAUAAAGUUAGGAAAUACUUAGAAAAAUCACUUUACAACAGAAUAAUUUUUUGCACUUUUUGACACUGUCACUGCAGAUUUACAAAAUCAAAGUUUACCAAACCUUUCUGUGUCUAUCAUUAGUAGCUUCAGUGAAACAGGUAGAAAGAUUCCUGUAUAUUAUUAUCCCAAUCAGGUAUUUAGAAACCUUCAUAUAGACAUUUGCUAGAAAAUGGCUUACAGCCCAAUCUUUGGGGCAAGAGAUAUGAAAAUUAUGUUUUCCCAAGAAAAUAAUACGCUUUGUUCCCAGACGAGACUGGAAAGACCAGAACUUAUGAUAUAAAAGCCUCUUUUUCUGUUUACGCUGCUGCAUCAUAUACAAAGAAACAUGGUGAUUAGCAAUGCAAAUCCAAAAUCUAUUAACAAGAAAUGUAUACAGUGCAUGAUAAUUUACGGUUUCGUUAUUGUUGUCCAUCGCAGAUCCUUUGGAGAGAGAAAAAGUUCACAGUGCUUACCAGGUAAGAGACUAGAUUACAGUCAAGGUAAUGGUUAAAAGGUAGAGGAAAGGGAGCAGUUCAGUUUUUAUGGCAUCUCUUCUUGUGGAGUUCUUAGCACUUUUGGACAGUUCUUUUGCCAUCUCUUCUUC
rnacentral:lncRNA from 1 species